UGCGUAGGCGGGUCUUUAAGUCAGGGGUGAAAUCCUGGAGCUCAACUCCAGAACUGCCUUUGAUACUGAGGAUCUUGAGUUCGGGAGAGGUGAGUGGAACUGCGAGUGUAGAGGUGAAAUUCGUAGAUAUUCGCAAGAACACCAGUGGCGAAGGCGGCUCACUGGCCCGAUACUGACGCUGAGGCACGAAAGCUGGGGAGCAAACA
rnacentral:rRNA from 1 species